rnacentral:rRNA from 1 species
UACGGAGGGAGCUAGCGUUGUUCGGAAUUACUGGGCGUAAAGCGUGCGUAGGUGGUUUGUUAAGUCUGAUGUGAAAGCCCUGGGCUCAACCUGGGAAUUGCAUUGGAUACUGGCAGGCUAGAGUGCGGUAGAGGAUGGCGGAAUUCCCGGUGUAGCAGUGAAAUGCGUAGAGAUCGGGAGGAACAUCUGUGGCGAAGGCGGCCAUCUGGACCAGCACUGACACUGAGGCACGAAAGCGUGGGGAGCAAACAGG